rnacentral:rRNA from 1 species
AUUGAACGCUGGCGGCAGGCUUAACACAUGCAAGUCGAGCGGAGAUGAGGUGCUUGCACCUUAUCUUAGCGGCGGACGGGUGAGUAAUGCUUAGGAAUCUGCCUAUUAGUGGGGGACAACAUUCCGAAAGGAAUGCUAAUACCGCAUACGCCCUACGGGGGAAAGCAGGGGAUCUUCGGACCUUGCGCUAAUAGAUGAGCCUAAGUCGGAUUAGCUAGUUGGUGGGGUAAAGGCCUACCAAGGCGACGAUCUGUAGCGGGUCUGAGAGGAUGAUCCGCCACACUGGGACUGAGACACGGCCCAGACUCCUACGGGAGGCAGCAGUGGGGAAUAUUGGACAAUGGGGGGAACCCUGAUCCAGCCAUGCCGCGUGUGUGAAGGAGGCCUUAUGGUUGUAAAGCACUUUAAGCGAGGAGUAGGCUACUGAGACUAAUACUCUUGGAUAGUGGACGUUACUCGCAGAAUAAGCACCGGCUAACUCUGUGCCAGCCGCCGCAGUAAGAC